rnacentral:rRNA from 1 species
GAUCCUGGCUCAGGAUAAACGCUAGCGGCAGGCCUAACACAUGCAAGUCGAGGGGCAGCGGAUGGAGUGCUUCGGUACUCCUGCCGGCGACCGGCGGACGGGUGCGUAACGCGUAUGCAACCUGCCUUCAACAGGGGGAUAAUCCGAAGAAAUUUGGUCUAAUACCCCAUAAUAUUCCGACAGGCAUCUGUCGGAGUUGAAAGCUUCGGUGGUUGGAGAUGGGCAUGCGUUGUAUUAG